UGUUCUUCUCUUUCCCAUCUUCCUUGAUCGUUUCUCUCUUUCUUUCCUUCUUUUUCCUUCCUAUUCUCCAUCCUUUUGUACUCAUCCACUCUAAUUCCCAUCCCUUCUCGAUUUUUCUUUGUUGACCUUCUCUCUCUCUCUCUCUCUCAAGAAGUGACUCCCGACGGGGAAGUAAUUUGGGAUCUAGUGACAAGCCGUCAGCUGUUCAUGGUUCUGUUUCUGCUGUAAUAUCAAUUCUCAAGGAUCCUGUAAGAAGCUGUCCUCACUUCAAGUUUCACUGAUUGCUAAGAUUAUUUAACGGGAGCAUGCACCCCUCAGCCACCAAAAAUAACUUCUCAAAAAACAGCCCAACAAACUGAUGCUAAGAAGCACCAGACAGCUAAAAAAAAAUAGCAAGUAUGAUCAGGAACCCCUCUGCAUUAAAGUCAGCAACCCAAAAAAAUAGUGUCAUCAAAUAUGCUUGCAUGAAUUUGAUUGUUGGAGGAGCAGAUACGACCUCGAUCAUGCUAACAUGGGCUCAAGAAGAACUAGACAUUGUAGUUGGCGAGGAAAGAAAGUUUCACUAACUAAUGCAAGAAGCAGAUGAGAGAAAACAUACUGUUAAACCCCGAGGCCAUCGUUUUGAAGACUCUUUUACAGAGUAUGAGAGUGAAUUCUUUGGUCCUGCAGGGUUGUAAUGGCUUGUAGUUGAUGUUUUCUCUUUUAUUUCUACUGUUUCCCCUUGUGUAUGCAGGCAGCAUUGUAAUUUAUACUUCUGAUUGAUUGUUUUCCUAUGAUGGUAUAUCUAAUCUGUUCUCGCUGGGGAGAUCCAAGAAACAAGUAAGAAGGCUAUCAUAGGGAGGUUUAAUGAAUUUGAGAAGUUGGAGUGAAGAUUGAUGAUCCAUGAUGGCCAACCUUCAUCCAUAUUCCAAAGUAUGCACCUUUUCAUUUGCUCCCUUUUGAUCUUUCUGAACAUUUAGGAUUGAUUAUGCCUGCUUCUUUUGAGACUUUGAAUCUCUAGAAUUUCUUUCGAUUUUACGCGUAAAGAAGAUGGAGUGUUCAUGACAUAGGAUUGAAGAAGACAUCGUGUCUGUCCUUUAGGUAGAGAGUGCUUUCAUGUGAGAAUGUUCAACUCCAAUUUCAUGGCUGCAAAUUAAAGGUACUGAACAUGAGAGUACAGCUACAACGAAUUUAUUGUUUUAAUAUAAUAAAAUGUGUGUGUAUGUAUAUAUAUUUAUGUGGUAGUAGA